rnacentral:rRNA from 1 species
ACGCUCGACACCUACUGGAGGCAGCAGUCGGGAAUAUUGCGCAAUGGAGGAAACUCUGACGCAGUGACGCCGCGUAUAGGAAGAAGGUUUUCGGAUUGUAAACUAUUGUCGUUAGGGAAGAAAAAAGACAGUACCUAAGGAGGAAGCUCCGGCUAACUACGUGCAAGCAGCCGCGGUAAUCUGAGCGGGCUGGCAAGGC